rnacentral:rRNA from 1 species
UCCCGCAACGAGCGCAACCCCCGCCGUUAGUUGCCAGCGGUUCGGCCGGGCACUCUAACGGGACUGCCCGCGAAAGCGGGAGGAAGGAGGGGACGACGUCUGGUCAGCAUGGCCCUUACGGCCUGGGCGACACACGUGCUACAAUGCCCACUACAAAGCGAUGCCACCCGGCAACGGGGAGCUAAUCGCAAAAAGGUGGGCCCAGUUCGGAUUGGGGUCUGCAACCCGACCCCAUGAAGCCGGAAUCGCUAGUAAUCGCGGAUCAGCCAUGCCGCGGUGAAUACGUUCCCGGGCCUU